GUGAGGAAUAUUGCGCAAUGGACGAAAGUCUGACGCAGCCAUGCCGCGUGAAGGAUUGACGGCCCUAUGGGUUGUAAACUUCUUUUGUAUAGGAAUAAACCCUCGUUCGUGAACGAGGCUGAAGGUACUAUAAGAAUAAGCACCGGCUAACUCCGUGCCAGCAGCCGCGGUAAUACGGAGGGUGCAAGCGUUAUCCGGAUUUAUUGGGUUUAAAGGGUCCGUAGGCGGAUCGGUAAGUCAGUGGUGAAAUCCUACCGCUCAACGGUAGAACUACCAUUGAUACUGGCGAUCUUGAGUAUGUAUGAAGUUGGCGGAAUGUGUGGUGUAGCGGUGAAAUGCUUAGAUAUCACACAGAACACCGAUUGCGAAGGCAGCUGACUAAUACACAACUGACGCUGAGGGACGAAAGUGUGGGGAUCAAACAGGAUUAGAAACCCCAGUAGUCC
rnacentral:rRNA from 1 species